GGACAUUACCGAGUUUACAACUCCCAAACCCCUGUGAACAUACCACUUGUUGCCUCGGCGGAUCAGCCCGCUCCCGGUAAAACGGGACGGCCCGCCAGAGGACCCCUAAACUCUGUUUCUAUAUGUAACUUCUGAGUAAAACCAUAAAUAAAUCAAAACUUUCAACAACGGAUCUCUUGGUUCUGGCAUCGAUGAAGAACGCAGCAAAAUGCGAUAAGUAAUGUGAAUUGCAGAAUUCAGUGAAUCAUCGAAUCUUUGAACGCACAUUGCGCCCGCCAGUAUUCUGGCGGGCAUGCCUGUUCGAGCGUCAUUUCAACCCUCAAGCACAGCUUGGUGUUGGGACUCGCGUUAAUUCGCGUUCCCCAAAUUGAUUGGCGGUCACGUCGAGCUUCCAUAGCGUAGUAGUAAAACCCUCGUUACUGGUAAUCGUCGCGGCCACGCCGUUAAACCCCAACUUCUGAAUGUUGACCUCGGAUCAGGUAGGAAUACCCGCUGAACUUAAGCAUAUCAAUAAGCGGAGGAAAAGAAACCAACAGGGAUUGCCCUUGUU
rnacentral:rRNA from 1 species